UGCUAAUUCUGGCAGGCCUGGCAUGCAAUUAACAUUCCAAUUUAUCCCACAGGAAUUGUCAAGGAUGUUAUUGUACGCUGCAGCUUUAAAGUUUGCUUGUGCUGGAACCAGGGGCCCAAAACCUGAAAAACAGCCCCAGACCAAUAUUCCUCCUCCACAAAACUUUAUGCAUUCAGCUUUUCCACCAGCAGAAAAAGACUACCCAUUUUCCAGUGCCUUACUGUGAAUGAACUCUACAGUGACUGUCUCAACACUAAUCAUUAUGCAUACAUCUGCAAGACUCAUCUUCCCACUGCACCGCUAAUGAUGUUCCGCUCUGUUAAACAGAACAGAUUCCUCUGCUUUCAUAUUCCAAUUAAAACGUUUCCUCUCACCCAAAAUGCCACUGGAAUCCUGUCCCCUUGCUUCCCUAAACACUGCUGUUCAGAUGUUUUCCAGCACCCAAUCUAUGUUUUAUUCAUUAUUUUCUCAAUACAUCAGCCCACAAAGAA